GACGAACGCUGGCGGCGUGCCUAAUACAUGCAAGUCGAGCGCAGGAAGCCGUCUGAACCCUUCGGGGGGACGACGGUGGAAUGAGCGGCGGACGGGUGAGUAACACGUAAAGAACCUGCCAAUAGGUCUGGGAUAACCACGAGAAAUCGGGGCUAAUACCGGAUGUGUCAUCGGACCGCAUGGUCCGCUGAUGAAAGGCGCUUCGGCGUCGCCCAUGGAUGGCUUUGCGGUGCAUUAGCUAGUUGGUGGGGUAACGGCCCACCAAGGCGACGAUGCAUAGCCGACCUGAGAGGGUGAUCGGCCACACUGGGACUGAGACACGGCCCAGACUCCUACGGGAGGCAGCAGUAGGGAAUCUUCCACAAUGGACGAAAGUCUGAUGGAGCAACGCCGCGUGAACGAUGAAGGCUUUCGGGUCGUAAAGUUCUGUUGUAAGGGAAGAACAAGUGCCGCAGGCAAUGGCGGCACCUUGACGGUACCUUGCGAGAAAGCCACGGCUAACUACGUGCCAGCCGCCGCUGUAAGAC
rnacentral:rRNA from 1 species